rnacentral:rRNA from 1 species
GACGGAGGAUGCAAGUGUUAUCCGGAAUCACUGGGCGUAAAGCGUCUGUAGGUGGUCAAAUAAGUCAACUGUUAAAUCUUGAGGCUCAACCUUGGGCUUGCAGUGGGUACGGGCAGACUAGAGUGCGGUAGGGGUGACUGGAAUUCCUGGUGUAGCGGUGGAAUGCGCAGAUAUCAGGAGGAACACCGAUGGCGAAGGCAGGUCUCUGGGCCGCAACUGACGCUGAGGAGCGAAAGCAUGGGGAGCGAACAGG